GGGUGACCUGCGGAGGGAUCAUUAUCGAGUUAGGGUCCUCAUAAGGCCCGACCUCCCAACCCUUUGUCUACAAUACCUAGUGUUGCUUCGGUAGGCCUGGUCUAUAUCCUACCGGGGGGCCGUGAAAGGCCUUCUGGGGAGCGCCUACCGAGAAGCUCAACUAUAAAAUUCUUAACUAAACGUGUCUUGUCUGAGUAUGUCUUUUAAUAAAAAGCAAAACUUUCAACAACGGAUCUCUUGGUUCUGGCAUCGAUGAAGAACGCAGCGAAAUGCGAUAAGUAAUGCGAAUUGCAGAAUUCUCGUGAGUCAUCGAAUCUUUGAACGCACAUUGCGCCCUUCGGUAUUCCGAAGGGCAUGCCUGUUCGAGCGUCAUUUUCACCCCUCAAGCCCCCGGCUUGGUGUUGGACGGUUUGGUCUAGGGCCUCCCUAGACCCCUCCCAAAGACAAUGACGGUGGGCUGUUGGACCCCCGGUACACUGAGCAUCUUAACGGAGCACGUAUCGGUUUUACAGGGACGACGGCACCCGGUCACACCUAUUAUCUUUAACAAGGUUGACCUCGGAUCAGGUAGGAAUACCCGCUGAACUUAAGCAUAUCAAUAA
rnacentral:rRNA from 1 species